rnacentral:rRNA from 1 species
UACGUAGGGCGCAAGCGUUGUCCGGAAUUAUUGGGCGUAAAGAGCUCGUAGGCGGCUUGUCACGUCGGGUGUGAAAGCCCGGGGCUUAACCCCGGGUCUGCAUUCGAUACGGGCUGGCUAGAGUGUGGUAGGGGAGAUCGGAAUUCCUGGUGUAGCGGUGAAAUGCGCAGAUAUCAGGAGGAACACCGGUGGCGAAGGCGGGUCUCUGGGCCGAUACUGACGCUGAGGAGCGAAAGCGUAGGGAGCGAACAGG